UGGGGAAUAUUGCACAAUGGGCGAAAGCCUGAUGCAGCGACGCCGCGUGAGGGAUGGCGGCCUUCGGGUUGUAAACCUCUUUCAGUAGGGAAGAAGCCCUCUUUGGGGGUGACGGUACUUGCAGAAGAAGCGCCGGCUAACUACGUGCCAGCAGCCGCGGUAAUACGUAGGGCGCAAGCGUUAUCCGGAAUUAUUGGGCGUAAAGAGCUCGUAGGCGGUUUGUCGCGUCUGCUGUGAAAGACCGGGGCUCAACUCCGGUUCUGCAGUGGGUACGGGCAGACUAGAGUGCAGUAGGGGAGACUGGAAUUCCUGGUGUAGCGGUGAAAUGCGCAGAUAUCAGGAGGAACACCGAUGGCGAAGGCAGGUCUCUGGGCUGUAACUGACGCUGAGGAGCGAAAGCAUGGGGAGCGAACAGG
rnacentral:rRNA from 1 species